CAAAGAUGGCGCCGACAUCCAGCCUUGUCUGGAUAUAAACGACUUACUGCGCAUGUGCAGGCUUGUCCCCUUGCUAGGGCUCCCUCUAGUGGUGAACAGCGGUACUGCACAUGUGCGGUUUAUGCACCAGGUGUUAGUUGACCGUUAAUAUGCUAAUGAGGUGAUUCAUUCUCCGCCAAUCCCUGGAGGACAAGUAGUGGGGUGAUCCAAGCCCCACCAAUCCCUGAGAGAUAAUUAGCAUACUGUUGUCUAUAUAAGCCGAGCGAUUUUGCUGCUCGGGGUCCCUGUUCAAGAGAGCUGUAACACUAAGAAGAGCUGUAACACUGAGAAGAGCUGUAACACUAAGAAGAGCUGUAACACAGUAAAGGCUUGCUCGCAGAAGAAUCCUGUUGCCGUGCGUCGUUCUUACUGGCGGGACAUUAGGCGCGCGACAGUUCAGAGCCUGACCCACAUGUGGCCCAUAUAUAUAUACAACCACCAAAACUAGGAGUUGCUGUGGCUGUGCUGUCUCUUCAGAGCAACAGGACACCGACUCAGAAAGUCUGCUUCUAAUAAAGCUCAUUCCACACUGUUG